AAAGAAUACAAAAAUAUAUUUUAAGAAAAUUAAUUCGAGAAAGAGAAGAUACAAUCUUUUAUAUGCGUAAAAUACAAGUAUAAUUAAAAAUAUAAGUAGAAUUAAAUAAAAAAACUUUAGAACACAAGUUUUAUUAAUAUACUUUAAUAAGUAUAUAACAUUUUAAUUAAACGAACAUAUUUAUCAAUAUCGUAAUAAACUUAUUAAGAUAGAACAUUAAACUGAGAUAUCAAACGUUUACAUGAGAUUAGUUAAUUAAUUAAAUAAUUAAAUAAACCGAUAUAUCAAUAUUUAUAGGAUAUACUUAUUAACAUAGGAUAUAUUUAUUAACAUUAAACUGUGAAAUCUAUUAAACGUUAUACAUGAGAUCAGUAAUUAAAGCUUUAACAAAAUACUACGAUAUAAAUAUAAAAUUUUAAUUAAAUUUUGUUUGACUUCGAACUUCCAUUCAUAGUUUUUUAUUCUUUAUAGAAUAAUUAUAAAAUUGUAAGCAAUCAAAUUAUUUACAAUUGUACUGUAUCAAUAACAAAUUUGUAUAGACUUAACAGUCAAUGUAUUUCUCUUUCAUCAGUCCACUGGACGUUCAUCAUACUAAAAAUUCUUUCAAUAUUAGCAUUAUGACUUGGAAUUCUAAAAAAGAACAAACAUUUUUAAAAAUUCAGAGCUUAAAUGGCCUCAACUAACCAACAGAACUCAUCAUUACCAAUCAUUAGCAUGAUUUAGUAUAUUAUAAUUUUUAAUAAAUAAUAAACAUAAAGUAAAAAUUAAGUUAGAAACAUCAAUCUUUUUACGCUUGUAUCAAUAAUGAAUAAUAUAAAGCCGAAAAUGAGCUAUUCUUUGGUUUUUCGGAUUAUAAUAGUUUUUAAUCUUGACCAAGAUACAGUUAAAACUAGAUAUACCAUUCAUAGAUAUAUAGACGACAUAAUUAUGGCAGCCCAACGAGAUCGAGUGAGGGAUAUUUUAACAUAUUCAACAAGUAUCAUUUCCGGUUGUAAUUUACGAUUGAGUAUGAAAAUAACAAUUGUCUCAAUUUUUUGGAUAUGAAAUUGUAAGAAUUAAAAACUUUAUAACAAUCGAUUGAUAUUACAAGAAUACAUUUUCGGGUCACUAUCUAUCAUACUACUCAAGCCAAUCACAAUGUCAUAAAAUUGGAACGAUUAUGGACUUGUUGACAAAGCAAUACUAUUUUCCGAUCCCAUAUUCCAACAGAAAAACUUAGAAUUGGUCAUACAAUUGCUGAGAUAAUGGUUAUCCACUGAAUUUAAUUUUCAACAAAAUCAACGUCAGAUUGAAAAAAAUCAUCAAUUCAAAACUUACAAACAAAAAAAAUAAUACUCAGGAUGAUUGCGAGCCGGGAAAUGAUAAAUAUAUAAAUACAUAACAAUCUCAUACAUAAGAGGCGUGUCCGAAGUUGUAACAUCAGUUAUAGACAAGAACAAGUUCACGAUAGGUUACAGAUGUUUAAACCGAGUGAGCAAGAUUAUCAAAGCACAGAAAGAUAGAGACAUUACUACUGGUACAAACAACGUGGUAUACAAAAUAAAAUGUAAUGACUGCGAUACCCCUUACGUAGGCCAGACUAAAAGAAAAUUGAAUACUAGAAUAAAAGAACACACGACAUCAAAUUAGAUUUGUCAAAGCACUCUGUCAUUUCAGAACAUAUAUCACAUGCUACAAUCACUUGAUAGAUUAAAACACAUUAAUUUUAGAUACAGAAUCAAAAUAUUACAACAAAUUAAUAUCUGAAAUGAUACACAUAAAAGAGCAGAACAACGAACUCAAUUUACAAAAAGACACAGAGCUUUUAAAUGAAUCUUACUUUGAUUUGCUUAACAGAUUGGUCGGCAGAAAUUAGAAGCAUAACAUAUACGAGGACAAUAAAUAGUUUAUAUUAUCCGCUCCACGUUCUUCUUGAUUAACUCUUUACACUCACAACUAGCAGAAGUGUCCGUCUCAGAUUAAAACGAGCUUUUAAUAUGUUGUAAUGGGACUUGGUUAGGUGCGGCGAAUGUGCGUGGACGCGAGCGACACGUGCGUAAGCGUGAGAAGCGUAUAAUAAGCAUUAGAAUAAGGCCUAGGAGAGGAAGAGGGGUAAGUAGGUAAGGAGCAAGGGAGCGAGCCGAGAAGGCAAGGCAAGUGGAGGCAGGCGCAAAGGUGAAGGGAAAAUAGAGAUUUUGCAGCAAAUUUUGGAAGGGCGUGGAAAUCAAGGUUAUAUUGAGAGACACAAGGAGCGCGAACGGUGCAAGAGGUGGAGUAGGUGCAGGAAAGGUGAAGGGAGAUAGUGAACACCGAAAGUUAGUAGAGGAAAAGGAUGGAGAGAAAAAGGUGUCUUUUAGGUUGUCGAGCGAAAAAGAUGGGCAGAAUAAAAGUGAAAGAGAAAGAAGAGAAAUCAUGGAACAAAUAGGUAAGGAUUUAAAGUUAAUGAAGGAAGCAAGAAAGGAGAUGAGGGAUUACGUGGAGGAAUUCAAAGUAAAAGAAAAAAUGUGGAAAGAAAGGUUAGAAAAAAUGGAAGAGAGGUUGAAAAUCUUAGAGAGGGACGGCGGGAGGACGGAAGGGGAGGGGUCAUGUGAAAUAGGAGAUAACACAAGUGUGCUCGGUGAUAUGAGUAGAUUAUCUAUAGAGUAUAUAGUAGAGCUAGCUCAGAGUUAAACGACAGAGAAGUGAAUAAAAUAAAAAAUGGGUGACGGAAAAAGACAAGGAAGAGAGAUGGUGCAACAUAGUAAUAAAAGGGAUACAGAUAACGAAGGAAGUGGACGGAGUCAGGAACAAAAGAUAUAUGUGGCUGGGGAAAUUAAUUAUGGAGAAAAUAGAGAUAGAUUGCCAGGUAGAGGACUGUUGGUCAAGCGGUAGAGUAAUAGUGGCGAAAAUAAGCAACAAUGAGCAGAAGAAAGAGAUAAUGAAAAAUAAGCUCAAAAGGGGUAUGAUUUAUAUAGAAAGCGAUUUGAUUUAAGCUGGGAAGAUAGAAAAGCACAAGAGAGGAUGAAUAGUUGGACAAAAGAACAGAGCUAAAGGGAGAAACAUAAAGGUUGAUAAAGGUAAGGUAAGAAUAAACGAGGGGGCAUGGAUAGAUUGGGCAGAGAUAGAAAGAGAGGAGGAAAGAAAAAGUAGGAGGAGGGAAGAAAGCCAGGGAAAAUUUUGGAUAAGCCAAGAAGGGAAUAGGGAAGGAGGGGACGGGGAGAAGUGCAGGAGAGGGGAGAAGAGAAAAAAGAGAAUUAGGAAUAGGAAAAGGAGAAUAGGGGAAAAAGAAAGAAAAUGAUGCUAUUUUGGAAUGUAAGGUUAAAUAACAAGGAUAAGGAAUUUUGGCAAUUUGUUAGAGGUUUCGAAUUUAUAAGUUUAGGUGAGGUAUGGGUUCAAGAGAAAGGUUGGGAAAAGUUGGAAGGAAGGCUGCCAAAAACACAUGUGUGGUGGUGCAGCUAUGCAAAAAAGGAAAGAAAUAAGGAAAGGCCUAAGAGUGAUUUCGUGAUUGGGAAAAGAAAAGGUUGGGGAGCUACUGAAGAUAGUUUGUGUCAGAGGGAGGUAGAGGAAAUGAUUUUAUCAGAGAUACGACGAGAAAAAGAAAAGAUACAUAUUGUAUCGGUCUAUAACAAAAAAAGGGAGAAGUUAAGGUUUGAAGGAAUUACUAAAGGAUAUAGGGGAAGAAAAGUUGACUAUUGGUAGGGAUUUUAAUUUGAGGAUAGGGAAAUGGGAUCAGGAGGAGAAGAAGAGAAAAUGGUCAGAUGCAGUAAGGAUAUGAAAACGGGAAAUGGGGCGUGGAAUUUUGUAUGGGUACAGGAACAAGGUUGGAAUAUUUUAAAUGACGUAGUAGAGGGGGAUUGGGAAGGAGAAUUUAUUUAUGUAGGACCAAGGGGCAGCAGGGUGAUAAAUUAUGUAAUAAUUAACGAGAGAUUGCGUGAAGGCGUGAUUAAUUUUAAGGUAGGUGAAAGAGUGGACUCAGAUCACAUGCCACUGUGUCUGGAGUUGGAAGUACAGACUAAGAGAAGCAAAAGGAAGAAGAGAGUGAAGAGAAAAAAGAAGUGGAAAUAAUUGUAUGGGAUAAAGAGGCGAUCAAGAGGUUCAAUAAAGACAGAGGAAGGAGAAAAAAUAGAAGCGGAAAUACAGGAACAACCAACGGUGGAAAGUAGAUGGGAGGAAAUAUAAAACAUAGUAAAUAGUGCAAUGGAAAAAAGGAAAGUAACGAGGAAAAAAGGGAGCUAGGACACAGAGAUUGGUGGGACAGAAGCUGUACAAGAAAGAAAAGGGAAAUGAAAAAGAUGCAUAAGAAAUAGAAGUCAGGGAAGAUGGAUAGAGAGAAGUAUAUGAUGGAAAGAGGCAGGUACAAGGAAUUUCUGCAGGGAAAGGUAAGAGAAAAGAGAGCAGGAAGCUACAAAAUUAAAGGCGUUAAAAAGAAAAACAAAUGUUUGAAAAUACAUAAAAAGAAAAAGAGGAAAAAGAACAAUAGAAGCAAGGAGGAAUAGAGGAAAGAGAACAAUAGAAGCAAGGAGGAAUGGAGGAGGCAUUUCUUGGAUUUGUUGGAAGAAGAAGAAAGUAAGAUUAGGCGUGAGGUAGAAGAAAAGAGAAGAGCAGAGCCACUAGAGGAACAAACA
rnacentral:lncRNA from 13 species